GACGAACGCUGGCGGCGUGCCUAAUACAUGCAAGUUGAGCGAUGAAGAUUGGUGCUUGCACCAAUUUGAAGAGCAGCGAACGGGUGAGUAACGCGUGGGGAAUCUGCCUUUGAGCGGGGGACAACAUUUGGAAACGAAUGCUAAUACCGCAUAACAACUUUAAACAUAAGUUUUAAGUUUGAAAGAUGCAAUUGCAUCACUCAAAGAUGAUCCCGCGUUGUAUUAGCUAGUUGGUGAGGUAAAGGCUCACCAAGGCGAUGAUACAUAGCCGACCUGAGAGGGUGAUCGGCCACAUUGGGACUGAGACACGGCCCAAACUCCUACGGGAGGCAGCAGUAGGGAAUCUUCGGCAAUGGACGAAAGUCUGACCGAGCAACGCCGCGUGAGUGAAGAAGGUUUUCGGAUCGUAAAACUCGGUUGGUAGAGAAGAACGUUGGUGAGAGUGGAAAGCUCAUCAAGUGACGGUAACUACCCAGAAAGGGACGGCUAACUACGUG
rnacentral:rRNA from 1 species